GGUCCUACGGGAGGCAGCAGUAGGGAAUCUUCCACAAUGGACGAAAGUCUGAUGGAGCAACGCCGCGUGAGUGAAGAAGGGUUUCGGCUCGUUAAGCUCUGUUGGUAGUGAAGAAAGAUAGAGGUAGUAACUGGCCUUUAUUUUACGGUAAUUACUUAGAAAGUCACGGCUAACUACGUGCCAGCAGCCGCGGUAAUACGUAGGUGGCAAGCGUUGUCCGGAUUUCUUGGGCGUAAAGCGAGUGCAGGCGGUUCAAUAAAGCUGAUUUGAAA
rnacentral:rRNA from 1 species